CAUGCAUCACAUGUAUAGACAUUCACUGUACCCCAUUCAAUCAUGCAUGCACACACGCAGAAGUUAGGUGCGGCACAGUGGCACCAGAUACUUGGUUUCUUGGAUUCUUCGUCCUCCAAAAUAUUCCAAAUGGAAUUUAAACUGGAGGUGGUGAAGGGAGGGCUUAAGCCAGAAAGGGUUAUUGGGAAGAAAGAGCUACUUUAAAUGUAGUUGCAUCUGGUUGGGUAACUAUAGUAGGGUGGAGAUUAUUCCAUGCUUUAAUUGUGCGGGGGAAGAACGAAUUGCUGUACACAUCUGUCUUUGUAGCUGGGAUCGCAAAUUGGAUCGAAUGCCCUCGUCUGCUCCUAAUUGGUUUGGGUUUGGUGUAGGUCUUGUAGUCUAUGUCGAGCUGACCAUUUAACAUUUUGUAAAAACAGGUCAAACGGUGAGUUUCACGUCUGUCUGUCUUGGAGAGGGUUCCUUCCACCCCAGAGAAUCCAGAAGUUUGGUGACACUCGCUUCUCUCUCGUAGGUGUUUGUAACAAAUCGAGCUGCCUGUCUUAGGACACGUUCGAUGGAAGAAAUACCCGGGUGCAUGAUGUUUGGCAAGAACUCAUCAGCAGUCACUCGAAACGAGUAUGAUCCCGAGGACACCUGUGCGUGACUUUGUUUAACGUGGGGAGACUGGUGCACAGACAGCCACCCCACGGUCCUUGACAGAUCUGGGUCAGGAUCCAGUGGCAUGGAGUCCAAGACGACCGGAGACCCUUUUCUGCUGCAGCCUUCAUCCGCCUUCCCAGCCGUUGUGACGCUCCACUAAGGUCAGCCAUCGUCCUCCGCCUGUUCCACCGUUGAGGUCUUGGUUGGAUUGCUCUUUGUCAGAGACCUCCCCCUCGACCGUACCACCAUGGGUGACCCUACCAGGAGCAUAGCUCCAGACGGCAUCGCUCUCAGGAUCUCAGGACCACACAAGCUUCUCCACCACGACAAGGUGACAAUCCACUGACUAAUUCAGGAUAAAAUAAUAAAUGAAUCCCACAGAUUCACCACCCAAUGGCCACAACUUGCGCUGGCUCCCAUGUGACGGCUUUAUUUUCAUUCAUUCAGUGGAUACAAGUGUCACGUAUCACUCAUGCCAUUUCCCAUUGCCGUUUCAGAGGGCAGAUCGGAGUCAACUACAUUACUAAGGGCCUGGAGUCGCACAUGCAAGGAGUAACCCAAGUAAGGAUUGGAGAUUUCCUUCCACUGAGUGAACCCAAUACACGUCGGACAAUUUGAUAGUUUUGCGGUCACCAUCGCUGAGACUGGAUACAUACUCCGGAUGUAUUUAAUUAAAUUUAAAUACUCCAUAGGCUUGAACAUGUUUUUAGUUCCAGGUAUCAGUAUUACUACUGCAAUAAACUUUGCUAU